rnacentral:rRNA from 1 species
AGGACGAACGCUUGCGACGUGCCUAAGAAAUGCAAGUCGAACGGAAUUACCUUCGGGUAGUUUAGUGGCGAACGGUCGCGUAACACGUGGGCGAACCUGCCCUGAAGCGGGGGACAACAACUCGAAAGAGUUGCUAAUACCGCAUGUGUAUCGGAAUGGCAUCAUUCAGGAUACAAAGGACUUCGGUUCACUUCAGGAUGGGCCCGCGGCCUAUCAGCUAGUUGGUAAGGUAAUGGCUUACCAAGGCUUCGACGGGUAGCUGGUCUGAGAGGACGAUCAGCCGGAUUGGGACUGAGAUACGGCCCAGACUCCUACGGGGGCAGCAAUUAGGAAUCUUGCGCAAUGGGCGAAAGCCUGACGCAGCGACGUCGCGUGAAGGAUGAAAUCUUUCGGGAUGUAAACUUCUUUUACCAGGGAAGAACAAUGACGGUACCUGGUGAAUAAGCCCGGCUAACUACGCGCCAGCAGCCGC